UGAGUAACACGUGGGUGACCUACCCUAAAGACGGGGAUAACCCUCGGAAACGGGGGCUAAUACCGGAUAGCUACAGCGUACGGGGGUAUGUUGUAGAAAGCUACGGCGCUUUAGGAGGGGCCUGCGGCCCAUCAGCUAGUUGGUAGGGUAACGGCCUACCAAGGCAAAGACGGGUAGGGGGUGUGAGAGCACGGCCCCCCACAAUGGGACUGGAACACGGCCCAUACUCCUACGGGAGGCAGCAGCAGGGAAUAUUGCGCAAUGGGCGAAAGCCUGACGCAGCGACGCCGCGUGAGUGAAGACGGCUUUCGAGUUGUAAAACUCUUUUCUGGGGGAAGAGGAAGGACGGUACCCGAGGAAUAAGCGUCGGCUAACUACGUGCCAGCAGCCGCGGUAAGACGUAGGACGCGAGCGUUAUCCGGAUUUACUGGGCGUAAAGCGCCUGUAGGCGGCUUUGUAAGUUGGGCGUGAAAGCCCCGUGCUUAACGCGGGGAGGCCGUUCAAUACUGCGGAGCUAGAGUACGGCAGAGGGGAGUGGAAUUCCUGGAGUAGCGGUAAAAUGCGCAGAUAUCAGGAGGAACACCAGUGGCGAAGGCGGCUCCCUGGGCCGAGACUGACGCUCAGAGGCGAAAGCUAGGGGAGCGAACAGGAUUAGAGACCCUGGUAGUCCUAGCCCUAAACGAUGGAUGCUAGGUGUGGGGACGAGGAGUUUCCGUGCCGGAGCAAACGCGAUAAGCAUCCCGCCUGGGGACUACGGCCGCAAGGUUAAAACUCAAACGAAUUGACGGGGGCCCGCACAAGCAGCGGAGCGUGUGGUUUAAUUCGAUGCUACACGAAGAACCUUACCUGGGUUUGACAUGUAGGUGGUAGCGAGGCGAAAGCUGAGCGACCCUUCGGGGAGCCUACACAGGUGCUGCAUGGCUGUCGUCAGCUCGUGCCUUGAGUCGUCGGGUUAAGUCCCGUAACGAGCGCAACCCUUGCUCCUAUAUUAUAGGUGUCUAGGGGGACUGCCGGCGGGAAGCCGGAGGAAGGUGGGGACGA
rnacentral:rRNA from 1 species